CGCGUGCGCUGGUUCGGCCGGGCCUUUCCUUCUGGCUAGCCCUAUGCCCUUCACUGGGUGUACGGGGGAUCCAAGACUUUUACUUUGAAAAAAUUAGGGUGUUCAAAGCGGGCCUACUCUCGAAUACUUUAACAUGGAAUAAUAAAAUAAGACGGCGGCUCUAUUUUGUUGGUUUCUAGACCCCCCGUAAUGAUUAAUAGGGAUACUCGGGGGCAUCAGUAUUCAAUUGUCAGAGGUGAAAUUCUUGUAUUUAUUGAACACUAACUACUGCGAAAGCAUUUGCCAGGGAUGUUUUCAUUAAUCAGUGAACGAAAGUUAGGGGAUCGAACAAUAUCAUAUACCGUCAUACUCUUAACCAUAAACUAUGCCGACUAGGGAUCGGGCGGUGUUUAAUUUAUGACCCGCUCGGCACCUUACGAGAAAUCAAAGUCUUUGGGUUUUGGGGGGAGUAUGGUCGCAGGGCUGAAAAUUAAAGGAAUUGACGGAGGGGCACCCCCCGGAGUGGAGCCUGCGGCUAAUUUUGACUCCACACGGGGAAACUCUCCAGGUCCAGACACAUUAAGGAUUGACAGAUUGAGAGCUCUUUCUAGAAUAUGUGGGGUGGUGGUGCAUGGCCGUUCUAGUUGGUGGAGUGAUUAGUCGGCUUAAUUACGAUAACGAACGAGACCUCAACCUCCUAAAAAGCCACCCGAGCUUUCGCUCCUCCCGCUUCCUUGAGGGACGAUCGG
rnacentral:rRNA from 1 species